AGAGUUUGAUCCUGGCUCAGAAUCAACGCUGGCGGCGCGCUUAACACAUGCAAGUCGAGCGAGAAAGGGGAGCAAUCCCUGAGUACAGCGGCGUACGGGUGAGUAACACGUGGGUCAUCUACCUCUUUGUGGGGAAUAACCCUGGGAAACCGGGGCUAAUACCGCAUAAGCCUAGAAAGGGAAAGCAAGCAAUUGCGCAGAGAGAGGAGCCCGCGGCCGAUUAGCUAGUUGGUGAGGUAACGGCUCACCAAGGCGACGAUCGGUAGCCGGCCUGAGAGGGCACACGGCCACACUGGCACUGAAACACGGGCCAGACUCCUACGGGAGGCAGCAGUGGGGAAUCUUGCACAAUGGAGGCAACUCUGAUGCAGCGACGCCGCGUGAGCGAUGAAGCCCCUCGGGGUGUAAAGCUCUCUCGGCAGGAACGAUCAUGACGGUACCUGAAGAAGAAGCUGCGGCUAACUACGUGCCAGCAGCCGCGGUAAUACGUAGGCAGCGAGCGUUGUUCGGAAUUACUGGGCGUAAAGAGUGUGUAGGCGGUGCUCUAAGUUCGGUGUGAAAUCUCCCGGCUUAACUGGGAGGGUGCGCCGGACACUGGAGUGCUCGAGCGUGGGAGAGGAAAGCGGAAUUCCUGGUGUAGCGGUGAAAUGCGUAGAUAUCAGGAGGAACACCUGUGGUGUAGACGGCUUUCUGGACCAUAGCUGACGCUGAGACACGAAAGCGUGGGUAGCAAACAGGAUUAGAUACCCUGGUAGUCC
rnacentral:rRNA from 1 species